rnacentral:rRNA from 1 species
CAUGCGUGACAUUAGCUAGUUGGUAGAGUAACGGCCUACAAAGGCGACGAUGUCUAGGGGUUCUGAGAGGAAGGUCCCCCACACUGGUACUGAGACACGGACCAGACUCCUACGGGAGGCAGCAGUGAGGAAUAUUGGUCAAUGGGCGAUAGCCUGAACCAGCCAUGUCGCGUGCAGGAUGACGGCCCUAUGGGUUGUAAACUGCUUUUGUACGGGAAGAAACGCUUCGACGUGUCGAAGUUUGCCGGUACCGUACGAAUAAGCAUCGGCUAACUCCGUGCCAGCAGCCGCGGUAAUACGGAGGAUGCGAGCGUUAUCCGGAUUUAUUGGGUUUAAAGGGUGCGUAGGCGGAAUGUCAAGUCAGCGGUGAAAGUCUGCAGCUCAACUGUAGUUGUGCCGUUGAAACUGAUAUUCUUGAGUGUGGCUGAGGUAGGCGGAAUGAGUAGUGUAGCGGUGAAAUGCAUAGAUAUUACUCAGAACACCAAUUGCGAAAGCAGCUUACUAAACUACAACUGACGCUGAUGCACGAGAGCGUGGGUAUCAAACAGGAUUAGAUACCCUGGUAGUCCACGCAGUAAACGAUGAUUACUGGGUGGUUGUGCGUUAUAGGCAUAAGCGAACUGCGCGAAAGCAUUAAGUAAUCCACCUGGGGGAGACGUCGGCAACGAUGAAAAUCAAAGGAAUUGACGGGGGGCCCGCCACAAGCGGGGGGAAACAUGGUGGUUUAAUUCGAUGAUUCGGGAGGAAACCUUACCGGGGUUUAAAUGGGGGGAGGGGCGUGAGGGGAAAACCCUUAUUUC